rnacentral:tRNA from 1 species
GCUGAGAUACGCUAGUGGUCAAGUGGAUUGCCUUGUAAGCAAUAAGCCGUCAGUUCGAUUCUGACUCUCAGCA